rnacentral:rRNA from 1 species
AUGGCACAACCUAUAGCUAACUUGAUAGAGCCCAUUGAUUUCUGUAUUGAUAUACAGAUCAAGAGAGAUCGUGGAUAUCAGACAGAACUCAAAAAGAACUAUCAAGAUGGAAGUUAUCCUAUAGAUGCUGUAUCCAUGCCUGUUCGAAAUGUGAAUUAUAGUAUUUUUUCUUGUGGGUAUGGAAAUGAAAAACACGAGAUACUUUUUCUAGAAAUAUGGACUAAUGGAAGUUUAACCCCUAAGGAAGCACUUUAUGAGCCUUCUCAUAAUUUGAUUGAUUUAUUUCUUCCUUUUCUACACGCGGAGGAAGAGGGCGCUAGUUUCGAAGAAAAUAGAAACAGGUUUACUCCACCCCUUUUUACUUUUCAAAAAAGAUUAACUAAUCUAAAGAAAAACAAAAAAGAAAUUCCAUUGAAUUUUAUUUUUAUUGAUAAAUUAGAAUUGACUUCUAGAACGUAUAAUUGUCUAAAAAGGGCCAAUAUACAUACACUAUUGGACCUUUUGAGUAAGACCGAAGAAGAUCUUCUAAGAAUUGACAGUUUUCGUAUGGAAGAUAGAAAACAUAUAUGGGACACUCUAGAGAAGCAUCUCCCAAAUGAUUUACUUAAGAAUAAACUCUCGUUUUAA